rnacentral:misc_RNA from 1 species
UGUGGUAUUAAUUUUCGUCGAUGCUUCGUUGGUGCUCUUCGUGCCCUGCUCCGGGGCACGGUGGGUGCUUCGUAAGAUGAGACCCUUUCACCCUUUGCUUCGAGAAUUGUCUCAUGACAUUCUUGUUUCGGGACGGUGGACUCAGGACUCUCAUUGAAUUGUUGCAAAUGUGGCCUAUUCGAAAAUGAGCCUUGGUGCCGCUGGCUCCUUGCUCGUGCCGUUCGUUGUGCCGAUUCCUCCGUGCGACUUUGGUUUCUCCCCUUCCGUCACUGAUGGCGGUUGUGGGUCUGAUCACUGUUGUGUCGAGGCCGUGCUACCUGGUUGAUCCUGCCAGUAGUCAUAUGCUUGUCUCAAAGAUUAAGCCAUGCAUG